rnacentral:rRNA from 1 species
GACGAACGCUGGCGGCGUGCUUAACACAUGCAAGUCGAACGGAAAGGCCCUGCUUUUGUGGGGUGCUCGAGUGGCGAACGGGUGAGUAACACGUGAGUAACCUGCCCUUGACUUUGGGAUAACUUCAGGAAACUGGGGCUAAUACCGGAUAGGAGCUCCUGCUGCAUGGUGGGGGUUGGAAAGUUUCGGCGGUUGGGGAUGGACUCGCGGCUUAUCAGCUUGUUGGUGGGGUAGUGGCUUACCAAGGCUUUGACGGGUAGCCGGCCUGGGAGGGUGACCGGCCACAUUGGGACUGAGAUAGGGGCCAGACUCCUAGGGGAGGCAGCAGUGGGGAAUAUUGCACAAUGGGCGGAAGCCUGAUGCAGCAACGCCGCGUGCGGGAUGACGGCCUUCGGGUUGUAAACCGCUUUCGCCUGUGACGAAGCGUGAGUGACGGUAAUGGGUAAAGAAGCACCGGCUAACUACGUG